rnacentral:lncRNA from 1 species
ACUAGAGGGCGCUCUGGCACUGUUGGGAAAGAGGACCCUAAAAUGGAGCCCAGGGAGAGGAAGCAGAAGGAAAAACAAAAAAACCAAAAACAUCAGAAAAAUUGAGGCUAGAAUACAGCGAUGUUUAACUCUCAAGGGGUGGCUUCUCUGUCCUUUUUCCUGAGCAUGGGGACAAAUUUGUUUUGUUUUCUGAGGGCAGCUGGCCUUGCCUGAGUCCUGGCUGUAAACUUGAGUUCGCUGCAGCAGGCAGGACCGGCUUCCUGCAAGCUUGCAUCAAUGAGAAGGCCCAAGGUAUAGGAGAUUCUGAUAGCAGUGACUGGAAUGUCUGAGAUGUUAAAAGAUUUGGUUUGAAGAAACUUGAAUGCAUCAUCGCUGAGAUCUUCUGAGGUCAGCUUCUGAAGGACUCUUCUUGCAUAUGGCCCUGCAACUCCCAGGACCCCAAACUCAUCGGUUAUGUUUUGAAUUUCCACAUCAUAUCCACCUCUGAAGGCUGCUUCUUCAAUCCAUCUGCAUUGGGAUCAUAAGCCUGGAUACUAAACGUGGGGCCGCCGAGAUGACUCAGAGGGCGAAGGUACCUUCCACCAAGUCUGACAACCUGAGCUCAUUCCCUAGGACCCAUGUGGUGGGAGGAGAGGAGAGAACUGUCUCCAGCAGGUCAUCCUCUGACCCCUGCACAAGUGUCAUGACAUCUGAAUACCCACAUACACACACCGAUCAGUCAGUCAGUCAGUCAGUCAGUCAAUCAAUCAAUCAGUGUAAGAAAUAUUAAGUCUAAAUCAGCACUCACUAUCCCCACACCAGUACCCCUCACACUCCUGGGGAAAACAAUGCUAUUCUUACUGAAACAAAAAUCACCUUUUCAGUAAAGAGAAACAAAAUGUGUGCUUGUUUUCCCUCCAACAUUUAACUCAAUCAUUAUUUUUAAAAGAAGAAUAAAUUGGUUUGUCAGG